GAUGAACGCUGGCGGCGUGCCUAACACAUGCAAGUCGAACGGAAAGACGAUGAGCUUGCGCCGCUGACGUUAGCGGCGGGCGGGCGAGUGACGCGUGGAUACCCCACUUAUAUUUCUGGGAUCAUUUCGGAACACCGGAUAUGAUACCAGAGAAUAUGUUGUACCGCGGGGGUCAGUGGUGAUAUGCGGCUUUGGGGUUUCUUAUAGCUGGUUACGCGGCGGUGUAGCUAGUUGGUAAGGUCCCAGCUUACCAAGGCGACGAGGCGUAGCCGAGGGGAGAGGGUGAUCGGCCACACGGGAACUGAGACACGGUCCAGACUCCUACGGGAGGCAGCAGUAGGGAAUCUUGCGCAAUGGGCGAAAGCCUGACGCAGCAACGCCGCGUGAGUGAUGAAGGCCUUCGGAUCGUAAAGCCCUGUUAUUAGUGAAGAACAGCUGUGUACGUAGCCAUGCACGUACUGACGGUACCCAAUCAAAAAGCCCCGGCUAACUACGUG
rnacentral:rRNA from 1 species